UUUUUUCAUUUUUUUCCGUUCUUUUCCGUUUUUUCCCCUAUUUCCUCUUUUUCUUCCUUUUUUUUUUUUCCCCCUCCCUUCCCUCCCAUUUUUUUUUUCCUCCUUUCAUUUUCCCCACCGUUACUCCCACCGCCCCUCCGUCCCCAGCCCCUUUUUCCUCCCUCUCCCCUGCCUCCCCCCUACCGCUGCUCCCCGCCGCCGCUCCGCCCGGUGCCGCAGGUGCCGUCUGCCCCGCGGCGCUGCGGGGAUCUCCGCGGCCGAUCGCUGCCGUUCCCCCGACCCCACUCCCCGCACAUCCUCCUCUCGCAUUGCCUUUUCGCAGCGCGUAGGAAGGAAGCCUGGACGAGGACUGCUAUGAAUUAACCCGCGUUCUCCAGGCAGGGGCCGCGGGGUUAUCUCAGUGUGUGUCCCCCCCGCCCCCGACAGGCACCCUUGCUGGCCGAGGGCGAGGGGGAAAGGGUUUGUUUUGGAGACGCCCCUCGCUGCUCCGUCAUUUGCUUUUGUGGAUGGGCACACAGGGACGUGGCACGUUCCACACUCGCAUACGCGGAGGUUAAGUAAGCAUUUGGGGCAUCACAAUGCUUUUGACGAGGUGGUUUGGUACAGGAAUGCCGGUCAGCUCUGUGCGAUUAAAUGGUUUGGAAGGAAUGCAGGUCAGCUGCAGAAUAUCACAUCCUGCAGCAGCGUGGCCUGGGAGGCGGGGGUGGGUGGAAAACCAAAGGGGCCUUAUUUUAAUUUGGAGGCCAUAAAUGCCAUCCAUAUGCAAAUGCAGCUUUUAGCUAAAGCCUUGCCAAGUAUCUUUGUGCGUGUUGCGUAUGAUAGCAUCUCAGUCAGAGCUGAUACUCCUGCUUAUCACAGAACCACAGAGCUUUGGGUGUCGGAAGGGUCCUCUUGGCAUUGCUGAGUCCAUCCCCCAGCUAAAGGGGGUUCCCUGCAGCAGGUUGCACAGGUAAGCAUCCAGGCAGUUCUUGAUUAGAGGAGGCUCUACAACCUCGCUGGGCAGCUUGUUUCUGUGCUCUGUCACUUUGGCAGUAAAGGGGGUCUUUGUGUAUCUACUUCUGAGCUCACUGCUGAAAAUGCUGUUUAAACAAGAAGUACUCAUUAGGCUGUAUGGCUGUGUAGGGGUGAGUUAUAAUAUAUGACUUCAGCUCCCGUGACAAAUCCAGAUGGAUUUCUCUUUAUUCUUAUUGCGUGUGCAAACAGACAGAAUCAUUGAAUUAUUCGGGUUGGAAAAGAUCUCUAAGAUAUCUAGUCCAAGUGUUGACCUACCACCAGUACUCACCACUAAACCAUAACUCCGAGUGCCACGUUCACCCUUUUCUUGAACACCUCCAGGGGCAGUGACUCCACCACCUCCCUGAGCAGCCCAUUCCAGUGCCUGAGUGCUCUCUUGGAGAAGAAAUUUUUCCUAAUAUCCAACCUGAACCUCCCGCAGUACAACUUGAGGACAUCACUUCUCAUCCUAUUGCUCUUACCUCGGAGCAGAGGACAUCCCACACCUCACUACAGCCUGCUUUCAGGGGUUGGUAGAGAGUGAUAAGGUCUCCCUUGGCCAGGAUGCCAUUGGCCUUCCUGGGCACACUGCUGGCUCAUGUUUGGCUGUGCAUCAACCAACAUUCCCCAGGUCCAUUUCUUCCACACGGCCUUCCAAGCCACUCUGUUGCAAACUACAAAAUUUUGCUGAAAAAGGAAAUUCUUCUGAUUGGUUAUUCUGUUCCUAGAGGAGUAAGAUACAUUGGAAAUGUGUUGCACACUGUUUUUUCCAGCAAGUUUCUACAGGACUAUGCCAUGGCUUGCUGAACAUCAGUAUUCCUAUGUGGUGAAAUGAGGCUGGUGUUUCAGCUUAUUACAUGGGCAGACAGUGAUAGGACAAGGGGGAAUGGUUUUGCAGUGAAAGAGAGUAGGUUUAGGUUACAGAUAAGGAAGAAACUCUCCACUCAGAAGGCAGGGUGACAGCUGCCCAGAGCUGGAGGUGCCCCAGGCUGUGGAUGAGCCCUGGGCAGCCUGAGCUGGGGGGGAGGAAGCAGCCCAUGGCAGGGAUGGGGCUGUGAGAUCCCUUCCAACCCAACCAUGCUGUGAUUCAGUGACGACCCCGUGAUUCCUUGAAUACAGGAGAAAAGCAUCAGUUUGAAACCCCUACAGGUGGUGACGUUGAGACAGAUGUAGAAUGUUAACGGUGCUGCUCGUGAAGACAACAGUUUUUCAUCCAAGGCAUGAAGCCUACAGAGAGGUAUCCUGCAAGAGCUUGGCUGCUCCGGCACACGGGUAGGAGCUCUGUAUGUGUUCCAGGAAAUGUGUAGCAGUCCUGAGAUAGGAGUAGACAGGAGGCAGCAGAAGCCUCAGAGAGGUGAGUCCAGGAAGGUGCUGUGCAUUGCUCCAGCACAGCUGGAAAUUGGUGUUCUGCUGUACGGAUAACUUAAACAGUUGGUAAUGUGCAAGGGUGUUUAGAGUAGUUCUUAAGUAAAGGCAGCCUACAGACUUCCAGAUGGUGGCCGAACCCAGGAACAUCACCAAUAGUAUCAUAUUAAGUGAAAACUAGCAAUUACGGAGUAAGUGUAUCUCCUGAAAUAGCAAGUAGCCUUAUGUUGGUCAAAUGAUGACCCAUGAUGAGUCACAGCCAUCCUAAAGCAGUUGCUGCGGCGCUUAAAUCUUCCCUUAAAAAAAGAAAAAUUCAAAUUAAGCAUGGAGGUUUAGCAAGGACGAGUGCCACUUUUAGAGCCUGAUGGAGGAGUUUCAACCCAGGCCAUUCUGUGAUGUGAUAUGCUAAGAUUUUGCUCUAUUCUUGUACUGUUUUCAGUGUUUGUGAUGUCUGGACCUGACGUAUUAGCAACAACACAACAGAGCUCGCUGCUGUCAGUGAAUUUCAGAGAGCAAGAGGCUGCCUUGAGAAGAAUAUAGAUGGGGUCCACAUCCAUAACAUGGGAGAAGGUUUAAGAAUAACGUAUUGGAAAAUGGUUUCAGAUCAUUUCACAGCGGGAAAGCCCACGGAUUCAGAAGAAUUGUGCAGAAGGGCUCCACAUCACACACGUGGCUGGGAAGCUGGUACAUGGCAUCACGGCUCAGAAGGUCGGGGAAAAUUAUCAUAAUCUGCUGCUCCAGCUUCUGGAAUAAAAGCCUGUUAAUGCCUGGAUGAAUUGGAGAACAUUUUUCAGACGGAGAUCAAACUUCCACCACGUUAUUCCUUACAACAUUAUUAUAAUAGUUAGAGAAUUUUAUUUCCCUGUCCCUGAACAUUUUCAUAACUGAAGAUGAUGGAAGACUUUGACAGCAGUGGAAAGCUAUUGUUCUUUUCUAUUUGUUGCAAAUUAAACAUACUAUGCAGCUCCACUUUCAGUAAUGUAAGGACUAAUUGAACCUCUCAAGAGAAACCAUUAACUUUGAGUUAGCUGUUGUUGGCUUUGUUAUUUUGGCACAGCUGUUCAGAGCAGAACAUGUGCUGUCACUACAUCCAUUGGUAUACUGACGGAGGGAAGAGGAUCAGCUACGCCACAUCAAGCCUUUUCAGUGUUCCACGUCUGUUUGUAGAAGGAUGUACAGGGUUCAAAAUGCAUUGGGAAAAUGUUGCAGAGUCUCAUUUUGUCUCUACCAGAAAGAAAAAGAAGAAAUUUAACUUCCACUAGCUUCACUGUGGUCAGUAUUUUACUUGAAAGAUGCCAUGGUUCUGUACUGAAGAAGCCAAAUGAUUUGCUAUUUCAGCUGUGUUUUCUUUCUACAUAUCCAUAUGAGGCAGAUCUUUAAAGCUCAGAACUUUUAGAAUGACUCAGUGUUAACAACUGCUAAUACAAGGAAUACUGCAUUUUAAGUAAUUCUAUACUACUGUAAUUAAACCGUUCUCGUAGUUUAAAAUAAAAAGAAACAGCCACGUCUGUAGGGACAGGUUUGUUGAAUUGCAGAUUGCAGAUUAGUCCUGAAGCAUCACAUCUCUCAUUUCUGCUAAACAAACAGUUUCAUUUACAAUGCUUUACUUUAGGGUUUCUUUUUUAGAUUGGGUUAGGUCAUUAUGUGAUAAUACAAAAAAAUAUAGACGUGAUGGAAAUAGACUUUUGUUUCAAGAAACUGUAUCUCUUAAAAGCAAGGAAUAAGUUCAUCAUCACUACUGUCUUUAUUCAUACGCUUUUAUGUUAUUACCCAUUUUCAGUAUAUGCAUGGCAGCUUAGGAACUCACGCAACUAAGGCACAUAUAUAUAUAUGUUCCUUGUUUAGCCAAAGGAAAUUGUUUAAAGCGCAUGACUUUGUGAAGUCUAGAAGAGAUAAAGGAAGAGCUGGGUGCUGCUCAAAGAGAUUAGUGCUAGGGAAAUAAUGACAGACUUUUAGUUAUGCAAGUAUUAGGGAGCACUGCCAUGGUAAGAGUGUAAGCUGUGCUAGCAGAGUCUGUAAUAGGAUCAAGCUGGAUAAAACUUUCUCCUUAUGCAUGAAGGAGCGCUUUCAUAAGUCAGUGUUCUUCUGUUAUAAUCCUUGAGGUCUAAUUCAAGAAAAGUUCAUCAUAUGAGAUUUUCAUUCAAAGAGACUAGUGCAGCCUGAAAAGCAGGGCAGGACUUACCAGCUCAUGUUUCAGCGUGCACUUACAUUUUUGAAAGAAAAUGUUGAUGUAAACGAAGGAAAAAAAUAUCUGUUUUGAAGUAUUUGAAGGCUCUAAUGGUUGUUUUUGUGCACUGCACAAAUUACUGCUGGGAGCUGUGAGAGAGAGGAAAAGGAACACAACUGCCUCUUCCCACCAGUACCCCUCCCAAAACUUUGAUACCCCUGAGUGCAAUGAGGAGCUGAAAGCACAACAGAAUUCACAUACAGCCUGGACCACUGUAACAACCGUGACAAAAUGAUAUGCCUUUGAUAAACAAAACACAGUAAUGGAAAGUUUGGCUAUCCUUUGCGAUCAUCUCUUCUGAGGAUAUGGAACAGUAUACAAUUAAAAUAUCCAGAAAGACUAUCCAAGAAAGUCACUAAUUCUAUCUUUUACUGUAUUCUCAGUGAAAUUUGUUUCCAGUCUAUUUUUCUUCAAAGAUGGUAGUCUUUGAAAGAAGUCUUUGAAAGACUUUGAAAGUCUUUGAAAGACUACCAUCUUCGGAUGGUAGAAAAACUCUUUCCUACCCAAAGUGAUGAAUAUUGCCUUUCUUCUGCUCCUGCUGAACGGUCUUCAAUAUUUACUUGUAACAAUCACCCUCUCUUUUUCUGGUGCGAAAAAGCCCUACUUGAAUAUGUUCAUUGUUCAAGCAGUGCCUAACAUCAGAUGACUUGUAAGAAGAUAUUACAGGCAAAAACCUACCUGUGAGCUGUGCUCUAAAGACAGCUGUACACACACGGCACAGUCCAACAUGUGAGAUACGUGAUCGGUUGGUUUAGUUUUGCCACGUUGUUCUUUGUUUUCGGGUGUUUUGUGACUCUGUCCUUUGUAUUAAUUCAGCAGCAAUACUGAAGCAUCAGAAAAAAUACAACAUAUUUUUCCUUUGCUUUUUCUACAGCUGUACUGCGUGCUGACUGGUUAUGUGGUUACUAGAAUCAAAAUCAUCUAUUAUACUUCACAGUUGGGAGAGGCAGGAAACUAAGAAGCACCGAAAAGAAGAUUAAAUAUAUAUAAGUAUGCACUUAAAAGCACAUUAACUUUCACGAAGAUGGGUGUUAUUUUCUGAAGAUGUGCUGUUGUUUGUGAGAGAGGUACUCACCAACCCAUUUGUGCCUAGACUAGACUUUUUGGUGCCAUUCCUCUGACCAGAGGGGUAAAAUUUCUUCCUGUUGCUGCGUUGCGUAGCCCAUUGCUGCUUCAUCCCCUUCUACUUUUCCUUUAAAUACAGAUAUCUAUAUCUAUCAAUCUUAAAACACAGAUAUCUGUGUCUCAAUAGUCAGCAAGCCUAAAAACUGUUCAUGUUGAACACCAGAAGCCACCUCCAAACUUUAUCAUCAUUAUCUCUAAGUCCCUUCGUUUCCUGAAAGUUUGCGAGACAGUACUGGCACCAAUAACUCUGGUUAGCUAAAGGUAUGUUGUG